AGUGAACGCUGGCGGUAGGCCUAACACAUGCAAGUCGAACGGCAGCACAGGAGAGCAUGCUCUCUGGGUGGCGAGUGGCGGACGGGUGAGGAAUACAUCGGAAUCUACUUUUUCGUGGGGGAUAACGUAGGGAAACUUACGCUAAUACCGCAUACGACCUACGGGUGACAGCAGGGGACCAUCGGGCCUUGCGCGAUUGAAUGAGCCGAUGUCGGAUUAGCUAGUUGGCGGGAUAAAGGCCCACCAAGGCGACGAUCCGUAGCUGGUCGGAGAGGAUGAUCACACACUCUGGAACUGAGACACGGUCCAGACUCCUACGGGAGGCAGCAGUGGGGAAUAUUGGACAAUGGGCGCAAGCCUGAUCCAGCCAUACCGCGUGGGUGAAGAAGGCCUUCGGGUUGUAAAGCCCUUUUGUUGGGAAAGAAAUCCAGCUGGCUAAUACCCGGUUGGGAUGACGGUACCCAAAGAAUAAGCACCGGCUAACUUCGUGCCAGCCGCCGCCGUAA
rnacentral:rRNA from 1 species